GUCCUGGGGAAGAGCCAGAGCAGCAGGGAGCAGCGCAGCGCCCCCAGCAACCGGAGGAGGAAUGACAUCACUUCCCAGCCAGCCGGAGCUGAUUAAAGUCGCAGGGCCAGAUUGGGGCCUACCAGCUUUCCGAAUGUUUGAUGGACCAGAGAAACCUGAGAUCCACUAAAAAGACAUUGAGACACCUUUGUAAUGGGGUAUCCUGCAAAAUUCAAAGGUAAAAUCCUGGGAAGCAAGUGCUGAAGGUGGAAUCCUGAGAUACCCUGAAAUCCUAAUUUUUGUAAAAUUUUAGGAAACAUGUGUGUGUGUGAGUAUCUAUCUACAAUAUGCCAG